GAGAUUAUACCAACUUUUCUGAGUCGAGGGAUCGCUUCUUGGAUGAUGGACCUAUUGCUCGAACUCUUGAGAAUCUACUAUACCUGGAUACUGAGAAAAUAAACCAUACGCUGAGCGAAAAUGCUCAAUGGUAUUUUCAUGAUUAAAGUAAAUAUAAACAAAUUAAACAUAUGCAUACAUCCAUAUAAAAUUCAAUUCAUAACCUAAUCUCAUAC
rnacentral:lncRNA from 1 species